rnacentral:tRNA from 1 species
AUAGUUAUGGUGAAAUUGGUAGACACAUUAAAUUUAGGAUUUAAUAGAUAUUAUUAUCUGUGUAAGUUCAAAUCUUACUAACUAUA